AGCGAACGCUGGCGGCAGGCCUAACACAUGCAAGUCGAACGAAGUCUUCGGACUUAGUGGCGGACGGGUGAGUAACACGUGGGAACGUGCCUUUAGGUUCGGAAUAACUCAGGGAAACUUGUGCUAAUACCGAAUGUGCCCUUCGGGGGAAAGAUUUAUCGUCCUUUAGAGCGGCCCGCGUCUGAUUAGCUAGUUGGUGAGGUAAAGGCGCACCAAGGCUACGAUCAGUAGCUGGUCUGAGCGGAUGACCAGCCACAUUGGGACUGAGACACGGCCCAAACUCCGACGGGAGGCAGCAGUGGGGAAUCUUGCGCAAUGGGCGAAAGCCUGACGCAGCCAUGCCGCGUGGAUGAUGAAGGUCUUAGGAUUGUAAAAUCCUUUCACCGGUGAAGAUAAUGACUGUAGCCGGAGAAGAAGCCCCGGCUAACUUCGUGUCAGCAGCCGCCGCCGUAA
rnacentral:rRNA from 1 species